UGGGCUAUGGCCAAGCGGUUAAGGCACCGGACUUUGACUCCGGGAUCGAUGGUUCGAAUCCAUCUAGCCCAGCCA
rnacentral:tRNA from 3 species